GUUGGACGGUUGUUAAUUUCUUGAUUUUUUCCCUUCUUGAUCGCCGCGACGGCAAACGAAAGUAAUUUGUGUUGUUGUUUAUGUUGUGCUCCCACAAAUUCUCUCCAAUUGAGAUUUGUUGUUAGUGUCUGUUGCCUCUUGUCUUGUGUUGUUGUUGUUGUGUUUGUUAUGCUGUCCGGUCAUUGCUUCAAAUUGCUCAAUCAACGCCACUACUUGUGUAAGCUGCGCUUGCAACUAUUGGUGGGGGUCGUGCUGAUAAGAAUGACAAAGGAACGGUACUGAUAACCAAUGCCUGGGAAUACUGAUCACCCCAAAAGAAAGCUAGAAAAAGCGCGACAA